UUGUGUUUUCUUAUAGUUGCAACUCUUAAUUUGCUUGUGAUGAUUCUUGAUCAGCUCUUGGUAGCCCUCAAAGUGCGUUACCCUCAACGGAUAACAAUUCUCAGGGGAAAUCAUGAGAGCCGUCAGAUUACUCAAGUGUAUGGCUUUUAUGAUGAAUGCUUAAGGAAUUUGUUGUCAAUGUCCAGC